rnacentral:ncRNA from 2 species
CAAUAAAAUAGAGGCGCGGUUAUCACGAAAAUUGCUGAGCAGACAAAAGCGUUGAUGCAAUUGUAAGGAUCGCCGCCGAAACAAGAUUGAACCUGUCAUUUGAUCUUUGUUGGGCCAUGUGGAAAGACUGCAUGGACUGUCCUAGGAUCACCUAGGGGGUGCUAUUAAUUGG